UAAAUUGAAAAUUAAAAUAAAUAAUUAAUUAAAAAAUGAUAAAAAGAAAAUAUCAUCUUAUUUUGUCAUCUUCAACCCCAAAAUUAUAUGGAAACCCUAGGAGAGAGAAAAAAAUUUCAUGGCCUAAUUGGGUAAGUUCCUUGUCCCAUUUUUAGUAAUUUUGAUAUUUUUGAAACCGAGAUAGCUUAAACUAUCUAUUUAGGGAAUUAAUUUAAAAAGUUAUCAAAGUACAGAAAAUGGGUCAUGGAUGCAUAUGCUGAAAACUAAAAAUUUAUAGUAGAAAAUGAAAGGUUAUUGAUAGAUAAACAACUUUUACAAAGUGGUUUUUGAUGAAAUUAUGAUUUAGGAACUAAAGUGUAAACUUAUGAAAUUUGAUGAAAAAUUUUAAAUUUUUAUUAAUACAUGUGCUGUAAAUUUGUAAUGAGAUUUUGGUUAGAUUUGAAAUAAGGAGUAAAUUGUACAAGUUUCAUUUUUUGAGCCUAGGGAUGAAAUUAGAAUUUAUGAAAAAGUUAGGGGCAAAAUGGUAAUUUUUCUUAGGACGUAAAUUGAGUCCAAAUAAAUAUAAAAUAUGUGAAAUUGAUGAUUAAAGCUAUUUAUAUAGAUCCGGACAACACAAAUUCGAGGUUAGACCGAGGAAAAAAAAGGUUUCGGAUUAGUAGAUUUUAUACGCGAACAAGUGUCGAAGUAAGUUCGUAUAACUUAAUCAGGCAUGUAAAUAUGUUUAAUUGAAUUUUGUGUUGUAUGGAAUGUGACUUAUAUUAAUAUACAUUACUUGAAUGCUAUAAUGAGAAAUUUAAUACAUGCUUGAUAUGGUGAAAAAAGGUUAAGUCCCAAUUGAAUAUUGAAUUCCGAUGAAUAUAUGCGCUUUCUUGAAACGAAUAAGAUCCUGCAUUUGUUGCGUAUGAGAUUUAGUUCAGACGAGUAAUCCUAUUUACCUUGUUAUAGAAAGGAUUUAACCCGGACGGGUAAUUCGGAUAUAA
rnacentral:lncRNA from 1 species